UACGAAGGGGGCUAGCGUUGUUCGGAAUUACUGGGCGUAAAGCGCACGUAGGCGGAUUGUUAAGUGAGGGGUGAAAUCCCAGGGCUCAACCCUGGAACUGCCUUUCAUACUGGCGAUCUUGAGUUCGAGAGAGGUGAGUGGAAUUCCGAGUGUAGAGGUGAAAUUCGUAGAUAUUCGGAGGAACACCAGUGGCGAAGGCGGCUCACUGGCUCGAUACUGACGCUGAGGUGCGAAAGCGUGGGGAGCAAACAGG
rnacentral:rRNA from 1 species